rnacentral:rRNA from 1 species
UACGGAGGGGGCUAGCGUUGUUCGGAAUUACUGGGCGUAAAGCGCACGUAGGCGGACUAUUAAGUCAGGGGUGAAAUCCCGGGGCUCAACCCCGGAACUGCCUUUGAUACUGGUAGUCUCGAGUCCGGAAGAGGUGAGUGGAAUUCCGAGUGUAGAGGUGAAAUUCGUAGAUAUUCGGAAGAACACCAGUGGCGAAGGCGGCUCACUGGACUGGUAUUGACGCUGAGGUGCGAAAGCGUGGGGAGCAAACAGG